GGGUUGUGAGGUUAAGCGACUAAGCGUACACGGUGGAUGCCCUGGCAGUCAGAGGCGAUGAAGGACGUGCUAAUCUGCGAUAAGCGUCGGUAAGGUGAUAUGAACCGUUAUAACCGGCGAUUUCCGAAUGGGGAAACCCAGUGUGAUUCGUCACACUAUCAUUAACUGAAUCCAUAGGUUAAUGAGGCGAACCGGGGGAACUGAAACAUCUAAGUACCCCGAGGAAAAGAAAUCAACCGAGAUUCCCCCAGUAGCGGCGAGCGAACGGGGAGCAGCCCAGAGCCUGAAUCAGUGUGUGUGUUAGUGGAAGCGUCUGGAAAGGCGCGCGAUACAGGGUGACAGCCCCGUACACAAAAAUGCACAUACUGUGAGCUCGAUGAGUAGGGCGGGACACGUGGUAUCCUGUCUGAAUAUGGGGGGACCAUCCUCCAAGGCUAAAUACUCCUGACUGACCGAUAGUGAACCAGUACCGUGAGGGAAAGGCGAAAAGAACCCCGGCGAGGGGAGUGAAAAAGAACCUGAAACCGUGUACGUACAAGCAGUGGGAGCCUCUUUAUGGGGUGACUGCGUACCUUUUGUAUAAUGGGUCAGCGACUUAUAUUCUGUAGCAAGGUUAACCGAAUAGGGGAGCCGAAGGGAAACCGAGUCUUAACUGGGCGUUAAGUUGCAGGGUAUAGACCCGAAACCCGGUGAUCUAGCCAUGGGCAGGUUGAAGGUUGGGUAACACUAACUGGAGGACCGAACCGACUAAUGUUGAAAAAUUAGCGGAUGACUUGUGGCUGGGGGUGAAAGGCCAAUCAAACCGGGAGAUAGCUGGUUCUCCCCGAAAGCUAUUUAGGUAGCGCCUCGUGAAUUCAUCUCCGGGGGUAGAGCACUGUUUCGGCAAGGGGGUCAUCCCGACUUACCAACCCGAUGCAAACUGCGAAUACCGGAGAAUGUUAUCACGGGAGACACACGGCGGGUGCUAACGUCCGUCGUGAAGAGGGAAACAACCCAGACCGCCAGCUAAGGUCCCAAAGUCAUGGUUAAGUGGGAAACGAUGUGGGAAGGCCCAGACAGCCAGGAUGUUGGCUUAGAAGCAGCCAUCAUUUAAAGAAAGCGUAAUAGCUCACUGGUCGAGUCGGCCUGCGCGGAAGAUGUAACGGGGCUAAACCAUGCACCGAAGCUGCGGCAGCGACACUAUGUGUUGUUGGGUAGGGGAGCGUUCUGUAAGCCUGUGAAGGUGUGCUGUGAGGUAUGCUGGAGGUAUCAGAAGUGCGAAUGCUGACAUAAGUAACGAUAAAGCGGGUGAAAAGCCCGCUCGCCGGAAGACCAAGGGUUCCUGUCCAACGUUAAUCGGGGCAGGGUGAGUCGACCCCUAAGGCGAGGCCGAAAGGCGUAGUCGAUGGGAAACAGGUUAAUAUUCCUGUACUUGGUGUUACUGCGAAGGGGGGACGGAGAAGGCUAUGUUGGCCGGGCGACGGUUGUCCCGGUUUAAGCGUGUAGGCUGGUUUUCCAGGCAAAUCCGGAAAAUCAAGGCUGAGGCGUGAUGACGAGGCACUACGGUGCUGAAGCAACAAAUGCCCUGCUUCCAGGAAAAGCCUCUAAGCAUCAGGUAACAUCAAAUCGUACCCCAAACCGACACAGGUGGUCAGGUAGAGAAUACCAAGGCGCUUGAGAGAACUCGGGUGAAGGAACUAGGCAAAAUGGUGCCGUAACUUCGGGAGAAGGCACGCUGAUACGUAGGUGAAGUCCCUUGCGGAUGGAGCUGAAAUCAGUCGAAGAUACCAGCUGGCUGCAACUGUUUAUUAAAAACACAGCACUGUGCAAACACGAAAGUGGACGUAUACGGUGUGACGCCUGCCCGGUGCCGGAAGGUUAAUUGAUGGGGUUAGCGGUAACGCGAAGCUCUUGAUCGAAGCCCCGGUAAACGGCGGCCGUAACUAUAACGGUCCUAAGGUAGCGAAAUUCCUUGUCGGGUAAGUUCCGACCUGCACGAAUGGCGUAAUGAUGGCCAGGCUGUCUCCACCCGAGACUCAGUGAAAUUGAACUCGCUGUGAAGAUGCAGUGUACCCGCGGCAAGACGGAAAGACCCCGUGAACCUUUACUAUAGCUUGACACUGAACAUUGAGCCUUGAUGUGUAGGAUAGGUGGGAGGCUUUGAAGUGUGGACGCCAGUCUGCAUGGAGCCGACCUUGAAAUACCACCCUUUAAUGUUUGAUGUUCUAACGUUGGCCCCUGAUCGGGGUUGCGGACAGUGUCUGGUGGGUAGUUUGACUGGGGCGGUCUCCUCCUAAAGAGUAACGGAGGAGCACGAAGGUUGGCUAAUCCUGGUCGGACAUCAGGAGGUUAGUGCAAUGGCAUAAGCCAGCUUGACUGCGAGCGUGACGGCGCGAGCAGGUGCGAAAGCAGGUCAUAGUGAUCCGGUGGUUCUGAAUGGAAGGGCCAUCGCUCAACGGAUAAAAGGUACUCCGGGGAUAACAGGCUGAUACCGCCCAAGAGUUCAUAUCGACGGCGGUGUUUGGCACCUCGAUGUCGGCUCAUCACAUCCUGGGGCUGAAGUAGGUCCCAAGGGUAUGGCUGUUCGCCAUUUAAAGUGGUACGCGAGCUGGGUUUAGAACGUCGUGAGACAGUUCGGUCCCUAUCUGCCGUGGGCGCUGGAGAACUGAGGGGGGCUGCUCCUAGUACGAGAGGACCGGAGUGGACGCAUCACUGGUGUUCGGGUUGUCAUGCCAAUGGCACUGCCCGGUAGCUAAAUGCGGAAGAGAUAAGUGCUGAAAGCAUCUAAGCACGAAACUUGCCCCGAGAUGAGUUCUCCCUGACUCCUUGAGAGUCCUGAAGGAACGUUGAAGACGACGACGUUGAUAGGCCGGGUGUGUAAGCGCAGCGAUGCGUUGAGCUAACCGGUACUAAUGAACCGUGAGGCUUAACCUUACAACGCCGAAG
rnacentral:rRNA from 1 species